rnacentral:rRNA from 1 species
GACGUAGGGCGCGAGCGUUGUCCGGAUUUAUUGGGCGUAAAGAGCUCGUAGGCGGCUUGUCGCGUCGGCUGUGAAAACCCGCGGCUCAACUGUGGGCGGGCAGCUGAUACGGGCAGGCUGGAGUUCGGUAGGGGAGACUGGAAUUCCUGGUGUAGCGGUGAAAUGCGCAGAUAUCAGGAGGAACACCGGUGGCGAAGGCGGGUCUCUGGACAGUUCCUGACACUGAGGCACGAAGGCCAGGGGGAGCAAACGGGG